rnacentral:lncRNA from 1 species
UGGAUGUAGAUUUUUAAAGAAACGUAUCUAUUUUUAUCUAUUCGAUCUAAAAUGCCCAUCCCUCCUAGAGAAAUGCUCACUUGUGUGAAAAAAGGACAUGGACAUGGCAAGGACGGGCUGGAAGCUUCACUCGUAGCAGCACACUAACCAGUAACAACCUAAGUGCCCACCAGCGCAUGAGCCGCCGCAGUUAGAAAGAAAAAGGAGAACUUCAUAUAUUUUGAAUAUAAAAAUAAUCCCAAGAUAUUUUCAGCAAUAAAUGCUUAGCAAGAAAAAAUACACGCCAUUAUUCCAUCAACGUUAUGAACCAGCCAACUCCCUCUCUCUCUACGUGUUUGCAUACUUAUAUAUACGUUAACCGCAUCAACAUGAAUCUGGACGGCACACACACAUCAAGGGUAAAACGAUUGUUUGCUCAAAAGAGAACAACUGUAUGAGCAUCAGUGAAAGAGGAAUUUUGCAUUUUAGUGCAUGUUUACUACAUCAUUAUGACUUAAGAAAAUAGAUAAGCCUAUUAGGUUGGGGUGCUCGUAUUCUACCUUCCCUUUUUUCCUUGAUUCCUAUCAGUUCUGUAGCCUAAGAUGCUUUAACAGCAUGUCCCUAAAUGAUCAUCUGGAAGAACUUUGGUAAGUAACUAAAAAGAACUGCUUUUGAAGUUUUUAUUUACCUACCUUUAUAAGAUUUGAUUAAUAUUUCAGUCUCUAAAUAGACACUAUCAGAGUGUAACCAAACCACUAAAAUCUGUUUUUAUUACAUUGCUCAGAUGCAUAAGGGAAAUACAGGGAAUUUGAAAGGAUGUUUACAUUUCUCUAACCAGUAUUCUUAAACUCUCACCAAAUCUAAUCACCAACUGAUUGCCUUAAGAAGGUAUAGUUGGGACGUUGAUUCCUAGAGUCAGGAGCUACUUUGUGUUCAACUACAUGAUUGAGUCUAGCAACAGUGUUACUCUGAAUCUGUAUAUUAGAUGAAAAAAGUUACCCGUUAUUAGAAGUAUCUGACUUUCUAUUUGAAACCUCUGGUAAUAGUGAUAUUAAACUGACGUCAUCAAUGCUGGAAUUAUUUCUACUAUCAGAGCUAAUAUUAACUACAGUGUUUUAUCUUUUGUUCAUGUAAAAGGAAAUUUGGAAUCAAAAGAACUAAGUUAGAGAACAACUGAUAAGCAUGAGAUCCUGCUGUAUAGCACAGGGAACUGUAUCUAAUCACUUGUGUUGGGACAUGAUGUUGGAUAAUGUGAAAAAAAGGUAUAUACAUCAAUGUAUAUACAACUGGGUCACUUUGCUGUACAACAGAAAUUGACAGAACACUGUAAGUCAGCUAUAACAAAAUUUUUUUAAAAAUCGAAGAAAACAGUAACUCAUGUGACCUAAAACAAAGCCACAAUCUGAAGAGUGGUGUGUAAACCUGACCACUGCAGCUGCACUAUCAUGUUCGUGGUUUGGACACGCCCUUCUUAACACACUUAUGGACCCUGGAGUAGAUGCUUGUGCACCUCCGGCUGAUUUUCAUCUUCUGGAUUUUGUAUGGUCAGGAAUAUCACAACAAGCUGCUAUGGUGGAUGGGAAAAUACUUUGCACAAGUCACGUGUUCGCCAUCGGUGUUCUUGGGAGGUAGAUAUUCAAUACCGAAUUUCUUGGGAGCAUGUACUUUCCAUUUUUAAGCUCAUUGAUAUCAGGGGUUUCUUGCAAAAUAGCAAAAGAGUGUUACCAAAGAAUAAAAACAAACAGAUGCUAAAUCCAUCGCAGCACGAAUAUUCAGAUCGCUAUCUACCUGCCCUUGCGUAUUUUUAAUGAGGUUAAGUCAGUUUCUCAGAGUCUGAGCUCCUUGAGCAUUGGAAAGGGAGAAGCCUAGGACUCACAAUGAAGAGGGGUCAGCCUGGGUAGCUUUCUUCUAAGUAACCAGUCAGGUGUACGUUUCCAUCAUUAGAACCAGAAUGGGGCUGGAGAAUAAGAAGGUGUGCUAGUCACGCCAGAUGGAACUGAUGGAGCUGGUUUGAGGCUCUGGAGGGCAAAGGCUGGAACUAGAAGCUGUUAUUUACUCAUUUAUCAAGUUAAUUAUUUAGUUAACAUUCUUUACUACACAUGACAAAUAGCAAAAAGACAUCCCCACCGAUGCUUCCCUUUCAGCAUGGAAUGGCACUGUCAUUACCAACAGCAGCAAGAGGCUUCCAUUUCUGGGUAGAACAGGGGUACUGGCUGAAAGGGGAGAACUCCCUGCCUUCACCAGAAUAGGAACAGAAUACUUCAAUGAACCUGAACAAAUUCUUUCAGUGUAACAAACUAAGUCACAUAGCUCAAGUGGAUUACUCUGGAGAUUAUAUAGAAAUUUUAGAUAAGGAAGUGUCAUUGAAAAGUCAUUUGUAAAAGGUUUUACAUCUGUGUAAUUAGGCACAUUUGUACCAUUGUUCCAUCAAAUUGGAUUGUAUUCCCAAAUGGCACUAAAAGUCCAGUUACUCUCUAAAUCAAAUUCUAUUCAAGUGGGACUUUGUGCCUGACUAAACACACAGGAAGCAGUUGGGUGGGGGGCGGGGGGCUUUGAUUGAAUGACUGAGGCUGUCUUAGUGUCAGUAUUUACAUUUGCUAUCCCAAAGCUAGAUAACAAAAUUUUGAUUAAGGUCCUUGUCACUUUCAUUCUCAAGGUGGAUGCAGAAAGAGAUGAUGGAAUUCAAAGACUUCAUUCAAUUUUUUUCCCUAAAGGGACUGAUAACUAUCUCCAAUAUGAAAAGAACCCUGUUUGAAAGUCAAGUUUAGAGCACGGUUUAAGUUUUGCUUGGCAACUUAAACCUCAGGAAAAAGUCUCAUGUUCUUUUUCAUGUUUUAGCUAUGUGUGUGGCAUAUUUCUUUGCCAAGAACCCCUAAGUGAAUAGGAUUCCGUUAAUUAAUCUUAAAAAAAAUCUUCAAAACUAGCAAUAAUUUACAACUUGGGAACUUUCUAAAGUGUUUAGGCUCACUAAAAGUAGAUUAGGAUGAAAAAAUAAAAGCGACUACAUAAUACGGCUGGCCUCGUUGAAACUAGUGGAAUUAAGACAGACAAUUCUCUACAAGAGAAAGAAUUCAGAAACUUUUUUUUUGUAUAGCAAAGGGUACACUUGAAGACAAUUAGCCAAAAACUAAUUUUCCCAUCCAAAGCUAAUAUCUACUAAUUACUGCAUUAUGUUCCAAAAGUGUACUUAAUGAUAUAUGUAUAUUACCUCAUUUAUUUCCACAACAAUGAUACACAUUUGGGUAUUAUUUCCCCUUUCCUACAAGGGGGGAAAUUGAGCUUUAAGAAGAUAAAUAUCUUGUCUGGGUUUAUACUUCUGGUAGAUGUCCUAC